rnacentral:rRNA from 1 species
GAGUAACACGUGGGCAAUCUGCCCUGCACUCUGGGACAAGCCCUGGAAACGGGGUCUAAUACCGGAUACUCACUGCCUUGGGCAUCCUUGGUGGUGGAAAGCUCCGGCGGUGCAGGAUGAGCCCGCGGCCUAUCAGCUAGUUGGUGAGGUAAUGGCUCACCAAGGCGACGACGGGUAGCCGGCCUGAGAGGGCGACCGGCCACACUGGGACUGAGACACGGCCCAGACUCCUACGGGAGGCAGCAGUGGGGAAUAUUGCACAAUGGGCGAAAGCCUGAUGCAGCGACGCCGCGUGAGGGAUGACGGCCUUCGGGUUGUAAACCUCUUUCAGCAGGGAAGAAGCGAAAGUGACGGUACCUGCAGAAGAAGCGCCGGCUAACUACGUGCCAGCAGCCGCGGUAAUACGUAGGGCGCAAGCGUUGUCCGGAAUUAUUGGGCGUAAAGAGCUCGUAGGCGGCUUGUCACGUCGG